rnacentral:rRNA from 1 species
UACGGGGGGGGCAAGCGUUGUUCGGAAUUACUGGGCGUAAAGGGCUCGUAGGUGGCCAACUAAGUCAGACGUGAAAUCCCUCGGCUUAACCGGGGAACUGCGUCUGAUACUGGAUGGCUUGAGAUUGGGAGAGGGAUGCGGAAUUCCAGGUGUAGCGGUGAAAUGCGUAGAUAUCUGGAGGAAUACCGGUGGCGAAGGCGGCAUCCUGGACCGGCAUUGACGCUGAACAGCGAAAGCUAGGGGAGCAAACGGG